AGCUCGGAAGCAGAUCCCAAAGGCGCAUCGGAAAGGGUUUGACUCCCUUGUCACCCUCGUCUGCUGGUCGCUUUGGAAGGAGCGUAAUAGUCGUGUCUUUGAGGGUCGAUCGGAGCAGCCGUCUGUGGUUUGCUCCAAGGUAGCGAGCGAGAUCUCGGUGUGGGUCUUAGCUGGUUUUGUGUCCCUUAGGUCGCUCAGCGUUGUUGUGUAAUUAAACCUUAAAGAUAGGGGGCGGCGCUCGGCGCCGUGUAAUACUCUUAAGUGCCAGGAUCACUUAGGUGAUCUUAGUACUUGGUCGCUCUCUUUCCGCUUAAUGAAAUAACGUGCUUCGGCACGUUCGCGAAAAAAAGAUAUGAAAAAUGUGACCAACUGUGAUAUGGAGCAUCAACUGAAUUACAAGUUGCUGAUUUUUGCAAAUUCAGUCUGUAGCUGCAUCUGCCAACAUUCCUGCAAAGCUUUUGAUUUCGUGAAGUGCCGGGAAGCUUUUCCGAGCUUGACGGGAGCCACCGACCACCAGGAUGCCAGCAACAUCGACGUCCACUUGCCCAAGCCAAAGCCCCAAGGUGAGAGAGGGCGUGGACAACACGGGGACUGCUCCACUUCCUUGCCGUGCGCAGGGACAAGGCAAUGCUGUGGUGCAGCACGUCAAAGGAAAGGGGAUAUGCUCGCCACCAGCGAGGAGGCUCAGGUUCAAUGACAAUUUCCCCUGCGCGAGCCAUGCCAGGAAGAUAUUUGUCGAUAUGGAUAAAUAUAUGACAACUG